rnacentral:rRNA from 1 species
UGGGGAAUUUUGGACAAUGGGCGCAAGCCUGAUCCAGCAAUGCCGCGUGCGGGAAGAAGGCCUUCGGGUUGUAAACCGCUUUUGUACGGAACGAAAAGGCUCUGGCUAAUACCUGGGGCUGAUGACGGUACCGUAAGAAUAAGCACCGGCUAACUACGUGCCAGCAGCCGCGGUAAUACGUAGGGUGCGAGCGUUAAUCGGAAUUACUGGGCGUAAAGCGUGCGCAGGCGGUCUUGUAAGACGGAGGUGAAAUCCCUGGGCUCAACCUAGGAAUGGCCUUUGUGACUGCAAGGCUGGAGUGCGGCAGAGGGGGAUGGAAUUCCGCGUGUAGCAGUGAAAUGCGUAGAUAUGCGGAGGAACACCGAUGGCGAAGGCAGUCCCCUGGGCCUGCACUGACGCUCAUGCACGAAAGCGUGGGGAGCAAACA